rnacentral:rRNA from 1 species
CAAUAGCGUAUAUUAAAGUUGUUGCAGUUAAAAAGCUCGUAGUUGGAUUUCUGGUGGGAGCGAUCGGUCUGGCGCUUAGCGCGAGUACUUGCAUCGUCUCCGGCCAUCCUUGGGGAAAGUCUGUCUGGCAUUAAGUUGUCGGGCAGAGGAUCCUCAUCGUUUACUGUGAAAAAAUUAGAGUGUUCAAAGCAGGCUUAUGCCGUUGAAUAUACUAGCAUGGAAUAAUAAGAUAGGACUUUGGUACUAUUUUGUUGGUUUGCGCACCAAAGUAAUGAUUAAUAGGGACAGUUGGGGGUAUUCGUAUUCCGUUGUCAGAGGUGAAAUUCUUGGAUUUACGGAAGACGAACUACUGCGAAAGCAUUUACCAAGGAUGUUUUCAUUAA